rnacentral:rRNA from 1 species
AAUGAACGUUGGCGGCGUGGAUUAGGCAUGCAAGUCGAGCGAGAACCCAGCAAUGGGGGACAGCGGCGUAAGGGACAGUAAUGUGUAGAUUAUCUGCCCUCGGGACCGGGAUAGCUGCGGGAAACUGCAGGUAAUACCGGAUAACAUCUCCGGAUCAAAGGUGUGAUUCCGCCCGAGGAUGAGUCUGCAUCCUAUUAGCUAGUUGGCAGGGUAAUGGCCUACCAAGGCUUUGAUGGGUAGCGGGUGUGAGAGCACGACCCGCGUCAUUGGACUGAGACACUGCCCAGACACCUACGGGUGGCUGCAGUCGAGAAUCUUCGGCAAUGGGCGCAAGCCUGACCGAGCGACGCCGCGUGUGGGAUGAAGGCCUUCGGGUUGUAAACCACUGUUAGAGGGGAUGAAAUGCAGGUGGGUUCUCCCAUCUGUUUGACAUAGCCUCAGAGGAAGGACGGGCUAAGUUCGUGCCAGCCGCCGCCGUAA